rnacentral:rRNA from 1 species
UAUAACCCUAGGCUUUCUCAUUUAUAUGUCACCAGUUCUUCCAAUGCGACACUUUCAGUGAUAGAAGUAUCUAAUCAUGGGGAUUUGACUUUGUUAGGGCAAUCUCCUGCAAACAAAAAAGCUCAUUGUGUUGUCAGCGAUGAUCAAAAUAAUAUUUGGGUCUGCGAUCCAAGCCGCGGUCAACUUUUAAGGUAUAAAGAUACAUUGUAGUAUCAAUCUAUGCGCCCUUCACAUUCAUCACAUCGACCACCACAUCGGCCUUCUCAUAGACCUUCUCAUCAACACGCCCGUCCUACAACAUCAAGGCGAGUUGACGAGAAUGAGAAAAAAUUCUUGAGUGGAAUACCGAUUGAUCCUUCUCCGCGCAUCAGGCUGGAUCACCUCCUUAAGCCGAAUUCUGCAGAUAUCCAUCACACUGGCGGCCGCUCGAGCAUGCAUCUAGAGGGCCCAAUUCGCCCUAUAGUGAGUCGUAUUACAAUUCACUGGCCGUCGUUUUACAA